CAGCGUGCCGUCCUGGUAGAGGACGCCAGUGUCCUUGUGGGACCGGGGUUUUUGGUGACUAUUGUCAGCAACGUUGCGCGAAGGCCUUUCCUGUUUACGUAGCAGAAAGAUGGUAUACGAUGUGUUCUGUGAAAAAAGUGAGAGAAACAUGCAAGCUGUCAUGUGCUUUCUGCACCGGACCCACGUGUAAGGAUCUGAAUACGAAGUGGUGUAUGGAAAGGGUAACAGAGUCAGCCGGACAAGUAAAAAAGAGGUUAUGUGAAAAAUGGAAGGGAUCAUGCAAGAAAGAGUGCUACUAAAAAAGAAAAAAAAACUGAACUGAUAUUCGAAAGAAGAAAUCGAAGAAAAUAAAAGUCAAGGACGGGAACACGUCGACUUGAAUUAAAGAUUAUAAUUAUUGUAAUGUCUCUAUAUUACUGACACGUUAAAUUAAAACAAUAUCUGCAGUA